rnacentral:lncRNA from 1 species
AGAGAAAAAGUUAAGUGGCCCAUAGCAAGGACACAUGGGUUGGACGUGGUAAACUCCAUUAAGAUCCAAUCUGCUUUUCUAAUCUACCAUUUUGGUGUCAGUGUGCAGAAGAGAUCAAAACAGAGGGUCAGCAGAAAAAGGGAGACUGAGCACCCCUCGCGGCCUCACUCCAACAUCACAUUUUUGUUCCCAGGACUUCUGAUGUUCUCCAGGACCAUGCUGGGCCACUCCUCAUAUCCUCACCCAGAGCAGGAACGGGAGAUAUCCCCAUCACCCCCACAAUAUCCAGAGUGGAACAGUAUAUCUUCCACUUGCCAAGACUGGUGAGAUCAGCAUAGCAACUGAAACCAUCUGUAAACAAGGCCUCUGGUUAUAUUCCCUACUGCAAAUGACCACAGAGAACUCGCCAUAAGGGCACAGGUAUUGGUAAACUAUAAGCGAGCUGGAGGGUGAACAACGGCUCCUACUUACUUAUUCCUUCUCCUUGCAGUACCUUUGGCACAAGUUCCACUGAACGAAGUUCCCUGUGGCCUCAGUUUGGCCAGGGUGUGACAAUCACAAUUUGCGGGGGACAGAUACCUGGGGGGGACGUGGUAUCUCAUGUUAGGAUAUUGGAGGGCAAAUACAAAGUGACAUAAGAAACAAAGGUUUAAUAUCCCCAUUGACAAGUGAGAGCAGGCUUUCUCCCCUCCCUUUGCUUUAGAAGGUUUACUUUGGAAAACUUGUCAGUUCUUUCUCUGUCUCUUUGCAAUAUGUGGAAAUCGUUUUAGAAAGCUCAAUAAGCCUCUUGCCAAUUUGACAACCCAGGAACGCUUCUUUAAGGACCUGGAAGCAAAAAUCCUUGCAAAGGGGGAGAACUAGGUAAAGAGGGAACAACUUAAGCAGUUGAAACCAGAAACUGCUAGACCUUCUGGACAAUCAGAGAAAGAAAUGACUGUCAAAGCAAUGCACCAGAGUCAAUAGAGCUGCAGGAGAAGAUCAUGAAAAGGUGAGGGCAGGCAGCAUCUCAGGAGGAUUACAGCAUCCUCAGAAGCAAGAGGUGUUCCUUCUCAGAACUCCCUCAGGUUAUGUUAGUGUGCAACGGUAUAAAACAUUAUAAACAACAUUAAAUGGUGCACAGAAAGAGCGGCGGUGGCAAAAUGAUCUCCUGGGAGAGAGGCCCACAAUUCACUGGGAAAAUGAAAUGUGAAGACUUGAUCCGAAUAUUAACGCCUCAUCUUGAAUAGAGGCCCACAUCCACUCACUUCACACAUAUCCGUGUGCUUUACCAUCUUCUAUACCACAGUUACGGCCACCGAAUGGUAGUGUGAGGGAACGGGGCCAGGAGACAGGAGAAAGAGCCCUGAACCCACAAUGUCCACCACAAUUUUCACACCAAAACCCUUGUCCUCGCCACUGUCAGUCUUUCCGUAUACUCUCAGAGCCUCCUGCUC